CUUAUACUCCCUCUGUUCCAAAUUACUCGUCGCAGAAAUGGAUGUAUGUAGAACUGAAAUACAUCUAGAUACAUCCAUACCUGCGACAAGUAAUUUGAAACGGAGGGAGUAUCUU
rfam:Triticum aestivum genome assembly, contig: Triticum_aestivum_CS42_TGACv1_scaffold_211161_3AS